rnacentral:rRNA from 1 species
CUUUACUUUGAAAANAUUGGAGUGCUCAAAGCAAGCAAGAGCCGCUUGUACAUCUCAGCAUGGAAUAAUGGAAUACGACCUCGUGUYNUUUUGUUGGUUUCCGGAGUACGAGGUAAUGAUUAAUUGGGACUGCCGGGGGCAUUCGUAUUGCAGCGCGAGAGGUGAAAUUCUUGGACCGUUGCAAGACGUCCCAGAGCGAAAGCAUUUGCCAAGAAUGUUUUCAUUAAUCAAGAACGAAAGUUAGAGGUUCGAAGGCGAUCAGAUACCGCCCUNGUUCUAACCAUAAACGAUGCCAACCAGCGAUCAGCGAGCGUUCCUCCAAUGACGCUGCUNGCAACUUCCGGGAAACCAAAGUAUUUG